rnacentral:rRNA from 1 species
GGGGGGGGGGGGGGGGGGGCUGGGGGCGGGGGGGGCGGGCGGGGGGGCGCUGCUGGGGGGGGGUGCUCGAGUGGCGAACGGGUGAGUAACACGUGGGUAGCCUGCCCUUGCCGUUGGGAUGACUUCAGGAAACUGGGGCGAAUACCGGAUAGGAGCUCCUGCUGCAUGGUGGGGGUUGGAAGGUUUCGGCGGUUGGGGAUGGACUCGCGGCUUAUCAGCUUGUUGGUGGGGUAGUGGCUUACCAAGGCUUUGACGGGUAGCCGGCCUGAGAGGGUGACCGGCCACAUUGGGACUGAGAUACGGCCCAGACUCCUACGGGAGGCAGCAGUGGGGAAUAUUGCACAAUGGGCGGAAGCCUGAUGCAGCAACGCCGCGUGCGGGAUGACGGCCUUCGGGUUGUAAACCGCUUUCGCCUGUGACGAAGCGUGAGUGACGGUAAUGGGUAAAGAAGCACCGGCUAACUACGUG